AUUGAACGCUGGCGGCAGGCCUAACACAUGCAAGUCGAGCGGGGUUUUCGGACCUAGCGGCGGACGGGUGAGUAAUGCGUAGGAAGCUACCCGAUAGAGGGGGAUACCAGUUGGAAACGACUGUUAAUACCGCAUAAUGUCUACGGACCAAAGUGUGGGACCUUCGGGCCACAUGCUAUCGGAUGCGCCUACGUGGGAUUAGCUAGUUGGUGAGGUAAUGGCUCACCAAGGCGACGAUCCCUAGCUGGUUUGAGAGGAUGAUCAGCCACACUGGAACCGAGACACGGUCCAGACUCCUACGAGAGGCAGCAGUGGGGAAUAUUGGACAAUGGGCGCAAGCCUGAUCCAGCCAUGCCGCGUGUGUGAAGAAGGCCUUCGGGUUGUAAAGCACUUUCAGUAGGGAGGAAGCGUUGUGUGUUAAUAGUACACAGCGUUGACGUUACCUACAGAAGAAGCACCGGCUAACUCUGUGCCAGCCGCCGCAGUAAAAC
rnacentral:rRNA from 1 species